AUUCGGUUGACGAGUCCUAAAUAGGAUGAAACACGUGUCAUGGAU
rfam:Schistosoma curassoni strain Dakar, Senegal genome assembly, scaffold: SCTD_scaffold0007724